rnacentral:rRNA from 1 species
UUGCUUGGUGGAUCAGUGGCGAACGGGUGAGUAACACGUGAGCAACCUGCCCUGAACUCUGGGAUAAGCGCUGGAAACGGCGUCUAAUACUGGAUAUGAGCUGCGGAGGCAUCUUCGUGGUUGGAAAGAUUUUUCGGUUUGGGAUGGGCUCGCGGCCUAUCAGCUUGUUGGUGAGGUAAUGGCUCACCAAGGCGUCGACGGGUAGCCGGCCUGAGAGGGUGACCGGCCACACUGGGACUGAGACACGGCCCAGACUCCUACGGGAGGCAGCAGUGGGGAAUAUUGCACAAUGGGCGGAAGCCUGAUGCAGCAACGCCGCGUGAGGGAUGACGGCCUUCGGGUUGUAAACCUCUUUUAGCAGGGAAGAAGCGAAAGUGACGGUACCUGCAGAAAAAGCGCCGGCUAACUACGUGCCAGCAGCCGCGGUAAUACGUAGGGCGCAAGCGUUAUCCGGAAUUAUUGGGCGUAAAGAGCUCGUAGGCGGUUUGUCGCGUCUGCUGUGAAAUCUGGGGGCUCAACCCCCAGCCUGCAGUGGGUACGGGCAGACUAGAGUGCGGUAGGGGAGAUUGGAAUUCCUGGUGUAGCGGUGGAAUGCGCAGAUAUCAGGAGGAACACCGAUGGCGAAGGCAGAUCUCUGGGCCGUAACUGACGCUGAGGAGCGAAAGGGUGGGGAGCAAACAGGCUUAGAUACCCUGGUAGUCCACCCCGUAAACGUUGGGAACUAGUUGUGGGGUCCAUUCCACGGAUUCCGUGACGCAGCUAACGCAUUAAGUUCCCCGCCUGGGGAGUACGGCCGCAAGGCUAAAACUCAAAGGAAUUGACGGGGACCCGCACAAGCGGCGGAGCAUGCGGAUUAAUUCGAUGCAACGCGAAGAACCUUACCAAGGCUUGACAUACACGAGAACGCUGCAGAAAUGUAGAACUCUUUGGACACUCGUGAACAGGUGGUGCAUGGUUGUCGUCAGCUCGUGUCGUGAGAUGUUGGGUUAAGUCCCGCAACGAGCGCAACCCUCGUUCUAUGUUGCCAGCACGUAAUGGUGGGAACUCAUGGGAUACUGCCGGGGUCAACUCGGAGGAAGGUGGGGAUGACGUCAAAUCAUCAUGCCCCUUAUGUCUUGGGCUUCACGCAUGCUACAAUGGCCGGUACAAAGGGCUGCAAUACCGCGAGGUGGAGCGAAUCCCAAAAAGCCGGUCCCAGUUCGGAUUGAGGUCUGCAACUCGACCUCAUGAAGUCGGAGUCGCUAGUAAUCGCAGAUCAGCAACGCUGCGGUGAAUACGUUCCCGGGUCUUGUACACACCGCCCGUCAAGUCAUGAAAGUCGGUAACACCUGAAGCCGGUGGCCCAACCCUUGUGGAGGGAGCCGUCGAAG